UUCAAUUCCCUUAAAAUUUAGGAAAGUUAAUAAAAAUAACCUUAAAACUUUAUGUUAUUUUGAAAAUGACCUCUCUAAUUUUUUUCAUAUAAAAACUAGCCAAACAAAAAUUGUUUUGGACCAAUCACCCUCCUCGUUUGCACACGACUGAGACUCUCUCCCUUAGAAAACCAAAGCAAGUUUUUUCUCUUGAAUCAUCAACAGCAACAGUGACGAAAGACGGUGAUCGCCGACAACAAAGGUGAGGAGAAACUCGAAUCCACCCGAAUCAACUCGAAUCCAUCCAAAUCCAACGAAUUGAAAAGAGUCCAAAUGCCAAGUAAGCUAACUUCCUCAUUUUUUAAUGAUUUGAAUGAAUUUGAAUGGCAUUGUAGAUGAUUAUAGGUUGUUAGAUUAAUAUAAUCAAAAGAAAUUUUGUUAAAAUGAUAAGUUACAACUAUUGCACAUUACAUGUUUACUGAAAUGCUUCUUAAAUAGUCUGUGCUUAGUUUUUGUACGCGAAAUGUUAAAAAACGCGGAGGGCUUUUUGUCGAAUUGUGUUGCGUGUUUGAGGUGUGAAAUUGUGCGACAUGGUGCCUGACGUACCACAGCGCGCGCUCUGUACGCUAUUGCACCACAUUGCAAUCUUUUUUUUUUAUGUUCUUGUUAAUGUUAUGAAGUUAUUACAUCUGAUUGUGUAAUAUAACAAUUUCUUAUGUGUAACUUGCAUUAGAUACAUGGCCAAAUCCAAAAUAACAAAGCAUAAUCCACCUGAUCGAGGAAUAAACUAAGCAUGAUGAAGGUAACUUAUGAAAAUCACUUCCUGAGCGUACCAUAAGUAUGUGUAAAUUAGAUACAAGUGGGAUCUUUGUUCAAAACUCAAGAAAUGUGGCAACAAAUAUAGAGAUGCAUCCAUAUCUGACCACAUUAGAGGCUAUAUGUUACACAACCUUUACUAUUUCAUUAUUAAAUAUGUCAAUAGGUAAUAAACAUGCACUAUAGAUUGUGUUACUAGACUUCAAAAUUGUCUUUAUCAUGAUACCAUAUUCAUUAGAAUUUAUUUGCAAAACCUCAUACACUCUUGUCAUAAACUAAUCAAAUUUAUAAUCUUUCUAAACCAAAAAAAUUGUAUUCUUGGCUAGGAAUGGCAAUAAAAUCCAGAUCCCUGCAUCCGCAAAGAUCCGGAAGAUCCGUAUAUGAAAAAAUGAGGAUUCGGAUUUAAAAAAUGAAGAUCCAUACGGAUCUGGAUGCACUUGCAUCCGCAAAAUCGGAUAUCUAGAUCCGGUUUAAUUUUGUUUUAAAUUAAAAGACACACACACGCACACACACACACGCGCCCGCGCGCGCGCACACACACACACAGACUUAAAUAAAAAAAAAAAAUCUAACCUAAGUGGCUAAAUUCCUAACCUUAACAAUAUUGCAUCCAGUUUCACGCACACUCAAGCCUCACGAUACCUCACCAGCAGCCGUAACCCCUCAAAUCCCUAAUGCCCAAAUUUGAAGGGCUUGUAAAGCCCUCGACCUAUCGCCGUCUUCCUCGUAGCCUUGCUUGAGCCUUGUGUCGCAGCCUCACCUGAGCACGUUGUUGUUGCUGCACACUGCAAGCCUUGCCUUCAUCACCUCCCCUGAGCACGUUGCUGUCAUAGCACACUACAAGCAUUGCCGUUAUCGAAGCCUCACCGUCAUCGAAGCUCGCCACACUACUAUUGCUGCACACGUCACCGUCGUCCAAGCGUCGCCUGAUUAGAUCAUUCAUGCCUGUAAUUUGCUCUCUUGUUUCUAUUAAUUUUCUUUUAUUUUUUAUUAAGUUAUGGCUUUUUUCUUUUUCUAGUUAAUAAUUUGGUAUUGUGGUUGAUUGAUUGUAUUUAAUGAGUUUAAUCUAAUGUAAACCUCUUUAAACUUCAAAAUGUUGUUGGCUCAAUUUAGUUUCUUGUUAAUUCAA
rnacentral:lncRNA from 1 species